rnacentral:rRNA from 1 species
CCUACGGGAGGCAGCAGUGGGGAAUUUUGGACAAUGGGGGCAACCCUGAUCCAGCAAUGCCGCGUGAGUGAAGAAGGCCUUCGGGUUGUAAAGCUCUUUUGUCAGGGAAGAAACGGUGGGGGUUAAUACCUUCUGCUAAUGACGGUACCUGAAGAAUAAGCACCGGCUAACUACGUGCCAGCAGCCGCGGUAAUACGUAGGGUGCAAGCGUUAAUCGGAAUUACUGGGCGUAAAGCGUGCGCAGGCGGUUGUGCAAGACCGAUGUGAAAUCCCCGGGCUUAACCUGGGAAUGGCAUUGGUGACUGCACGGCUAGAGUGUGUCAGAGGGGGGUAGAAUUCCACGUGUAGCAGUGAAAUGCGUAGAGAUGUGGAGGAAUACCGAUGGCGAAGGCAGCCCCCUGGGAUAACACUGACGCUCAUGCACGAAAGCGUGGGGAGCAAACAGGAUUAGAUACCCUGGUAGUCCACGCCUUAAACGAUGUCUACUAGUUGUCGGGUCUUCAUUGACUUGGUAACGCAGCUAACGCGUGAAGUAGACCGCCUGGGGAGUACGGUCGCAAGAUUAAAACUCAAAUGAAUUGACGGNNGNGAGNGCGAGAGACGACGAGGGAGGAGG